rnacentral:rRNA from 1 species
GAACGCUAGCGGCAGGCUUAACACAUGCAAGUCGAGGGGUAGGGUAGCAAUACCUGAGACCGGCGCACGGGUGCGUAACGCGUAUGCAAUCUACCUUUUACAGUGGAAUAGCCCAGAGAAGUUUGGAUUAAUACUGCAUAGUAUAAUUGAAUGGCAUCAUUUAAUUAUUAAAGAUUUAUCGGUAAAAGAUGAGCAUGCGUCCCAUUAGCUAGUUGGUAAGGUAACGGCUUACCAAGGCAACGAUGGGUAGGGGUCCUGAGAGGGAGAUCCCCCACACUGGUACUGAGACACGGACCAGACUCCUACGGGAGGCAGCAGUGAGGAAUAUUGGACAAUGGGCGCAAGCCUGAUCCAGCCAUGCCGCGUGCAGGAUGACGGU